UUACGUGCUUAACUACAGUCAUUGUGUACUGGGCGCUUCCAGAACACAGGUGACCUACGCUCAACCAUGUACCUGAAUGCCUCCUGUAUAAACACAACGGUUCACUGGCGGCUGCUGAUCUCCUGCUCGCUAUGUUUGCUCAAAAGAUUUGUGCUUUGUCUGUAGUGGCGCUUCACAAUCGCCACGGUCUCAGAACAUAUGAGACAAACUAGUUGUGACCUACCCGUGGAAGUAUUUGCUCCGUUUUAUGCGCUUAACUAGUCAUUGUGUAUUGGGAUUUGAGCUCUUCGAAAACGUGGGUGACCUUUGCUCAACCAUGUACCUGAACGCCUCCUUUGUAUUCACUUGCUGAUCUGCUAGAAGUGCUGCUAACACUACACUUUCUGUUUAGAUAUGGGUUUCACAGAGAGGCACCUGGCUUCCCAGAGAGGCCUCCAUCCACCUUCUCCUGGCUACUCCUCAGUCCUCCAUCCCGAGGGACAUGUCUCUUGACCUGGCCUUCAAUCCUCACAGAUUGCUGCUGAGGUCACACAUCCUGGAGUCUAGUGUUAGUUUCCACGGCAACAGAGACAUCAUUCACGUCCUUACCCUUGGCUACCAACCAUCAAGCCCUUUUACUCGUCAGAAUCUGUGUGACCACAUCCAGCAACCAGUUGAACAGUUUUCCUCACUGACAAUACUAACCAAAAGAGAGAUGACUUUCAAAUGAAGGUUCUCAUGAAACUAGAGGAAAUUAUAGAGGAGAAGGAGGAAAUCCUCAGAAACCAACAGCUUACCAUGUCUGCUAACACUGUGGCUUAGGAUGACAUCAUCGAUCAGCUCUGUGAGAAUUACGAGGAGCUCCAGGCCCAAGACAGAAAGAGUUGGAGGAAAAUUAAAGAAGAAGAAAAUGAUUAGAGGCAGUCAGAUGGUUGGAGGAUCAAGAGGCUGUGGAUGUGGAGCUCAAGAGACCAUGUUGACCAGUGUGCGCAUGAUCAAGCAUAAUCACACCCCACACAUCUGGAUAUACUCAUCCCACAUGUACAGUACCAGUCAGUAUAUAUAUAUAUGUAUAGUACAUACAGUAAAAAAAACAAAAAAACACAUGGACACACUUUAUUAAAGCACAUACUGAGACAA